AGUGGUUAAGAGCUUGGCUGCUAACCAAAAGGUUGGUGGUUCGAAUCCACCAGCCACUC
rnacentral:tRNA from 1 species